UACGAAGGGGGCUAGCGUUGCUCGGAAUCACUGGGCGUAAAGCGCACGUAGGCGGCUUUCUAAGUCAGGGGUGAAAUCCUGGAGCUCAACUCCAGAACUGCCUUUGAUACUGGAGAGCUCGAGUCCGGAAGAUGUGAGUGGAACUGCGAGUGUAGAGGUGAAAUUCGUAGAUAUUCGCAAGAACACCAGUGGCGAAGGCGGCUCACUGGUCCGGUACUGACGCUGAGGUGCGAAAGCGUGGGGAGCAAACAGG
rnacentral:rRNA from 1 species